CUCGGGGCCAUGCCUGAAGGAUCAAGAAGCAGACCCCAGCAGAACAAAGGGGGCAGCUUUGCAGUGUCUUAUUUUCAUGGAUAACAACAUUAACAUUCAGAGGAAGAUGAAUGAAAUUCAUAUUGAAAACAACUGGACAAAUAAUCCAGUGAGUUUUAAACAAUCUAAAUCUAAACAGCAAUUAUGGAUGGAAGGAGUAGUCCAGGGAAAACCCAACAAAGGGAACCUGAAGUAGAGAAGGAACUGCAACAGGAACCAACAUUUAGAGCAUACUGAAUCUAUUCUGCUUCUAUUCAACUAAAUGGAACAUUCCAAGGAUUCAAUGGAUGGGACCUUUCUUCUCAGUCAUCCCCAUGAUAACAGCAUAAAGUCACUGAGCUCCACGGGAUUAGGAAGCUCACCAUUGAUUAUUCUCGCUGGCCAGGCAAAGCCUGGACUUUAGGAGCCGGCUAUGGAAAAGUGAGCAAAUAUGGAGAUGGAAACUCUGGGAGAAAUCCAGGGCUCCCCCUCCACCAAACAUCACCCUCUGCUCCCUGAUUCCCAAGACCAAGAAGUGAUUGUGUCCAGCUCAUCUUUGGAGCCCAGGCCAUGUUACAAGUCGGGCAAGUCUAUGGAUCCACUGAAAAAGAUCCAUGAAGACAGGGAUUUUUAACUGUUUGGUCCACUAAUGUGUCUCAAUCGCCUAGAAGACUACCUGGAACAUAUUUUCAUCUUGAAACAGGCCCAGAGUUGAAGGAGAUGAACUAUAAGAUACCUUCCAAUUCUACAUGCAAUGAUUCUAUGAAUUGUGUUAAUCUAAGGGGAUUCACAAAAGAGGUAAAGAGCAUGCAGAGUCUUGAAACAAGUGGGAAGCCUGGUAGACUAUGGCUGAGCCUCCUUCCUAUUCCCAGCCUGCCAUGAGGCUUUCUGGCUUAGUCACUUCAGCCAUCCUCCAGAUAAUACUGAUCCUAGAGAAGCUGGAAUAUCUAUCCUACACCACCCCCCUGAUAUAUAGGCUACACUCCCACAGUCUUCAUGAGAUCCCAACACAUAUCUCUGCCAAAUUUAAGUCACCAGCAAUUAUCACUUGAUGUGCCCUAGUUAGACUGUGAAAGCUAUAGCUCUGCCUUUGACCCUAUUCCCCAUUACCCAUCUGUUUGCAACAUCGUGUCAGAGCCACUGUGAACAAAGCCCCUGCUCUCAGUAGGCUGCUCACAAACUGCUCCAUGCCUAUAGCAGUAAAUUGCCCUGUGAAUGUCCCUGCUCUUGGGCAAAGAAUCCCCGGAAUAGAAGCUUCCACACCUGCUUUUCCCCCACAGGAUUAAUGCUAUUUCUCAAGAGAAGGAUAAAGGCUGAACUAUAGGAAACAUGGGAUCCUGGCCCUGUGGGACACUCACUGAUGCAGAAAGACAAGAUCAACAUCUUGUUGGUUGAUUCCAUCCUCAAUACAGGGGCCAAUCAAGAAUUGGCAGUAAGGAUCCAGACCACGGUGAAGUCAACAAAAUAGUAUCAUGGUGUGAGGUGCAGAUGCAUCAGGGAGGCUUUUUAGUAUCACCCCACAGUCACCCAGGGAAGGGAGUCUUUCAGCAAGAGUUAGGCUGGGGCCAGGUCUCACCUCCAUUCUCAAAUCUGAACCCUCACUGUUCCAACAUGAAUCACAUUACAGAAACUGUGUGGUUUGGUGAGCCAGGCCAAACCAUCAGAAUUAGGGGAUGUAUAUUCUCUACCCAAAGACAAGGAACACAUCUUUUUCCUGGAAACAAGCAGCUCAUUCACAAAAGACCCACUAAGCAGACUCAGA